rnacentral:rRNA from 1 species
UACGUAGGGUGCAAGCGUUGUCCGGAAUUAUUGGGCGUAAAGAGCUCGUAGGCGGUUUGUCGCGUCUGCUGUGAAAUCCCAGGGCUUAACCCUGGGCCUGCAGUGGGUACGGGCAAACUAGAGUGCGGUAGGGGAGAUCGGAAUUCCUGGUGUAGCGGUGAAAUGCGCAGAUAUCAGGAGGAACACCGGUGGCGAAGGCGGUUCUCUGGGCAUUACCUGACGCUCAUGUGCGAAAGCGUGGGGAGCAAACAGG